AUUGAACGCUGGCGGCAGGCCUAACACAUGCAAGUCGAGCGGAUGAAGGGAGCUUGCUCCUGGAUUCAGAGGCGGACGGGUGAGUAAUGCAUAGGAAUCUGCCUGGUAGUGGGGGAUGACGUCCGGAAACGGGCGCUAAUACCGCAUACGUGGUGAGGGAGAAAGUGGGGGAUCUUCGGACCUCACGCUAUCAGAGGAGCCUAGGUCGGAUUAGCUAGUUGGUGGGGUAAAGGCCUAUCAAGGCGACGAUCCGUAACUGGUCUGAGAGGAUGAUCAGUCACACUGGAACGUAGACACGCUCCAGACUCCUACGGGAGGCAGCAGUGGGGAAUAUUGGACAAUGGGCGAAAGCCUGAUCCAGCCAUGCCGCGUGUGUGAAGAAGGUCUUCGGAUUGUAAAGCACUUUAAGUUGGGAGGAAGGGCAGUAAGUUAAUACCUUGCUGUUUUGACGUUACCAACAGAAUAAGCACCGGCUAACUUCGUG
rnacentral:rRNA from 1 species